rnacentral:sRNA from 1 species
GUCUGGCUCGGGCUGGGGCCGGCGGGAGCGCGAACCAGCGACGGCGGAAUCCGUGGGCCUGUGGACUGCAGCCUCGGCGGCCAGCAGAGUACUUGUGAUUUCACGUAUUUUUGCUGAACUCGUAAAAGAGACAUUUGGAUGGUGGAUUAACCAGAACACUAACAUUCUGUGAAAAGUUUCAAAUUGGAGAAUAUUGAAUUUUCACCCUAGUCCAGCAGCUCCGCUGCUCACUUAAAUACAGAUGAAUGAAGACCCCAUUCGGAAAGACACCUGGCCAGCGGUCCAGAGCUGAUGCAGGCCAUGCUGGAGUAUCUGCCAACAUGAUGAAGAAGAGGACAUCCCACAACAACAUCUCGAAUCAGCGAUGCACACUUGGCAGACACAAUGAUUGGCAAAGCAGUGGAACAUAUGUUUGAGACAGAGGAUGGUUCUAAAGAUGAGUGGAGGGGAAUGGUCUUAGCACGUGCACCUGUCAUGAACACAUGGUUUUACAUUACCUAUGAGAAAGACCCUGUCUUGUACAUGUACCAACUCUUAGACGAUUACAAAGAAGGCGACCUUCGCAUUAUGCCUGAUUCCAAUGAUUCACCUCCAGCAGAAAGGGAACCAGGAGAAGUUGUGGACAGCCUGGUAGGCAAACAAGUGGAAUAUGCCAAAGAAGAUGGCUCGAAAAGGACUGGCAUGGUCAUUCAUCAAGUAGAAGCCA